CUACGUGCCAGCAGCCGCGGUAAUACGGAGGGUGCGAGCGUUAAUCGGAAUAACUGGGCGUAAAGGGCACGCAGGCGGUUAUUUAAGUGAGGUGUGAAAGCCCCGGGCUUAACCUGGGAAUUGCAUUUCAGACUGGGUAACUAGAGUACUUUAGGGAGGGGUAGAAUUCCACGUGUAGCGGUGAAAUGCGUAGAGAUGUGGAGGAAUACCGAAGGCGAAGGCAGCCCCUUGGGAAUGUACUGACGCUCAUGUGCGAAAGCGUGGGGAGCAAACAGGAUUAGAUACCCUGGUAGUCCACGCUGUAAACGCUGUCGAUUUGGGGAUUGGGCUUAAAGCUUGGUGCCCGUAGCUAACGUGAUAAAUCGACCGCCUGGGGAGUACGGCCGCAAGGUUAAAACUCAAAUGAAUUGACGGGGGCCCGCACAAGCGGUGGAGCAUGUGGUUUAAUUCGAUGCAACGCGAAGAACCUUACCUACUCUUGAC
rnacentral:rRNA from 1 species